rnacentral:tRNA from 1 species
GCCUCCAUAGCUCAAUCGGCAGAGCAGGACGCUCUUAACGUCAAGGUUUCAGGUUCGAUUCCUGAUGGGGGCA